GGGGCCAGCGGCGCGAGUGCCCCUGAAGUCGCAGGUUCGAGACUCGGUCCUGGCGGAGUGGGGUGGCUAUGGCGCGGCGGGCCGUGCUGUUCGACCUUGGAGGCGUCCUCUUCGUGCCCGGCGUGCGGAACUUCCUGGGCUCCUACGAGCGGCGCUGCGCUUUACCCAGGAAUUUCUUGCUAAAAGCCAUGCUUGCUGGUGGAUCUGACAGUCCUUAUGCCAAGGCGAUGAAAGGACAAAUCACCCUGUCCCAGCUCUUUUUGGAGAUGGAAGAGGGCUGCAAGCAGCAUGCCUCCACCUCGGGCAUCACCCUGCCAGCCACCUUCUCCAUUGCCCAAGCCUUUGAGGAGAUGGCAGUUGAGGGGACAGUCAAUGCCCCCCUUCUGCGGGCAGCGAGGGUACUGCAGAGGAACGGAUUUAAGACCUGCGUCCUCACCAACAACUAUGUGGACGACAGCGCCAGGCGGCUCUUCACAGCCACACUGAUGAACAUGCUGCACCGCCACUUUGACCUGGUGAUCGAGUCCUGCCGGCUCGGAGUGCAGAAGCCAGAUCCCAAGAUCUACACCUAUGCCCUGGAUGCAUUGCAGGUGAAGCCACAGGAGGUCAUCUUCCUGGACGAUGUCAAGGAGAACCUGAAUCCAGCCCAGGAGAUGGGCAUGGCCACCAUCCUCGUCAGGGACACCGAAACUGUCCUAAAGGAGCUGCAGGAGCUCUCAGGUGUCCAGCUUCUCACCAAAGAAGAAUCUCUGCCAACUGCGUGUGAUCCAUCCAAAGUGACCCAUGGAUACGUGCCCAUCCGGUCUGGUGUCCAGCUGCAUUUUGUGGAAAUGGGGCAUGGCCCCGUCAUCUGCCUCUGCCAUGGCUUCCCCGAGUCUUGGCUCUCCUGGCGCUACCAGAUCCCAGCUUUGGCUGAUGCCGGCUUCAGGGUGAUCGCUCUGGAGAUGAAGGGCUACGGGGAGUCCACAGCCCCACCAGACAUUGAAGAAUAUUCUCAGGAGCAGAUCUGCAAGGACCUGGUGGUUUUCCUGGACAAACUGGGCAUCCCGCAAGCUGUGCUGAUUGGCCACGACUGGGGUGGUGCUGUGGUCUGGAACAUGGCUCUCUUCUACCCCGAGAGGGUGAGAGCUGUGGCCUCGCUGAACACCCCAUAUCGACCCGCUGACCCCACUGUGGACAUUGUGGAGAAGAUGAAAAACCAUCCCAUGUUUGAUUACCAGUUCUACUUCCAGGAGCCAGGUGUCGCAGAGGCAGAGCUCGAGAAGGAUAUCAGCCGGACCCUGAAAGUCCUGAUCCGCUCCACACGCCAGGAGGACCGCCUGCCCUCCAAGUUCAAAUUCCACCAGGUCCAGGAGCGAGGGGGGCUACUGGUGGGCUUCCCAGAAAACCCCCCUGCAAGCCAGAUCCUGCACGGCUCCGAGCUGCAGUAUUACAUCCAGCGCUUCCAGAAGUCUGGGUUCAGGCUCUUCCCAUGCUACGGGCAGUGGGGUGGUCUCCAUGGUGGUGUCAGCAGAAGCUGAUUCCCAGCAUCUUUGUUGGAGACAUGGACAGUGGGAUUGAGGGCACCAUCAACAAUUUGGCAAGGACAACAAGCUGUGUGGCGUGGUCAAUAUGCUGGAGGGAACAGAUGGCAUCCAGAAGGACCUGGACAGGCUGGAGAGGUGGGGCUGUGAGAACCUCAUGAAGUUCAACAGGGCCAAGGACAAGGUCCUGCAGCUGAGUCAAGGCAAUUUCAAGCACAAAUCCAGGUUGGGCAGAGAAUGGAUUAGGAGCAGCCCCGAGGAGAAGGACUUGGGGUGCUGGGGCUGAGAAGAUCAACAUGAGCUGGUGAAGGGCGCUCGCAGCCCAGAAAGCCAAACUGUGUCCUGGGCUGCAUCCAAAGCAGUGGGGUAAGCAGGGCGAUGGAGGGGGUUCUGCCCUUCUGCUCUGCUCUGGUGAGAUCCCACCUGGAGCCCAGCAUCUAGUUCUGGAGUCCUCAGCACAGUAAGGACAUGGAUCUGUUGGAGCAAGUCCAGAGGAGGCCACGGAGAUGACCCAAGGGCUGCAGCAUCUCGCUUAUGAGGACAGUCUGAGAAAGUUGAGGUUGUUCAGACUGGAAAAGAGAAGGCUUCAGGAAGACCUUAGAGCAGUCUCCCAGUACUGAAAGGGCAUCCAGGAAAGCUGAGAAGGGGCUCUUGAUCAGGGAGUGCAGGGAUAGGGUGAGGGGGAACAGUUUUCAGGUGAAAGAUAGGAGAUUGAAGAACCAUUUUCCUGUGGGGGUGGUGAGACACCAGCCCAGAUUGCCCAGAAAAGUGGUGGCUGCCCCAUCCCUGGAGGUGUUCAAGGCCAGGUUGGAUGGAGCUUGGAGCAACCUGUUGCAGUGGGAGGUGUCCUUACCCAUGGCAGGCGUUUGGAACUGGGUGAACUUUGAGGUCUCUUCCAACCCCAAACCAUUCCAUGAUAUUGUGUCUGAUCUCCGCACCGUUCACCCCUCUUCCAGGGGCCCCUUGAACUGGUACCGCAACAUGCGACCCAACUGGCACUGGGCACUCUCUGUCAAGGACAGGAAGAUCAUGAUGCCAGCACUGAUGGUCACAGCAGGGAAGGAUAUGGUGCUGCAUCCCAGCAUGAGCAAGGGCAUGGAGGAGU